rnacentral:rRNA from 1 species
UGAGGAAUAUUGGUCAAUGGGCGGGAGCCUGAACCAGCCAAGCCGCGUGAGGGAGGAGGGCCCUAUGGGUCGUAAACCUCUUUUGUCAGGGAACAAAAGCGAGUAUGUAUACUAGUCUGAGUGUACCUGAAGAAAAAGCAUCGGCUAACUCCGUGCCAGCAGCCGCGGUAAUACGGAGGAUGCGAGCGUUAUCCGGAUUUAUUGGGUUUAAAGGGUGCGUAGGCGGCGGUGCAAGUCAGCGGUAAAAGCCCGGGGCUCAACCCCGGCGAGCCGUUGAAACUGCAGUGCUAGAGAAGGCGAGAGGUACGCGGAAUGCGCAGUGUAGCGGUGAAAUGCUUAGAUAUUGCGCAGAACUCCGAUUGCGAAGGCAGCGUACUGGCGCCUGACUGACGCUGAGGCACGAAAGCGUGGGGAUCGAACAGGAUUAGAUACCC